rnacentral:rRNA from 1 species
AUUGAACGCCGGCGGAAUGCUUUACACAUGCAAGUCGAACGGUAGCACGGACUUCGGUCUGGUGGCGAGAGGCGAACGGGUGAGUAAUACAUCGGAACGUGCCCAGUCGUGGGGGAUAACGUAGCGAAAGCUACGCUAAUACCGCAUACGAUCUAAGGAUGAAAGCGGGGGAUCGCAAGACCUCGCGCGAUUGGAGCGGCCGAUGGCAGAUUAGGUAGUUGGUAGGGUAAAGGCCUACCAAGCCGACGAUCUGUAGCUGGUCUGAGAGGAUGAUCAGCCACACUGGGACUGAGACACGGCCCAGACUCCUACGGGAGGCAGCAGUGGGGAAUUUUGGACAAUGGGCGCAAGCCUGAUCCAGCCAUUCCGCGUGCAGGAUGAAGGCCUUCGGGUUGUAAACUGCUUUUGUACAGAACGAAAAGGCUCUGGUUAAUACCCGGGGCUCAUGACGGUACUGUAAGAAUAAGCACCGGCUAACUACGUGCCAGCCGCCGCCGUAA